CCUACGGUGGGCAGCAGUAGGGAAUAUUGCUCAAUGGGGGAAACCCUGAAGCAGCAACGCCGCGUGGAGGAUGAAGGUUUUCGGAUUGUAAACUCCUUUUGUUAGAGAAGAUAAUGACGGUAUCUAACGAAUAAGCACCGGCUAACUCCGUGCCAGCAGCCGCGGUAAUACGGAGGAUGCGAGCGUUAUCCGGAUUUAUUGGGUUUAAAGGGUGCGCAGGCGGGAGAUCAAGUCAGCGGUAAAAUGUCGGGGCUCAACCCCGGCCGGCCGUUGAAACUGGUUUUCUAGAGUUGGAGAGAAGUAUGCGGAAUUCGUGGUGUAGCGGUGAAAUGCAUAGAUAGCACGAAGAACUCCGAUUGCGAAGGCAGCAUACCGGCUCCAUACUGACGCUGAGGCACGAAAGCGUGGGGAUCGAACAGGAUUAGAUACCCCUGUAGUC
rnacentral:rRNA from 1 species